CCUACGGGCGGCAGCAGUGGGGGAUAUUGCACAAUGGGGGAAACCCUGAUGCAGCGACGCCGCGUGGGUGAAGAAGCGCCUCGGCGCGUAAAGUCCUGUCAGCAGGGAAGAAAAUGACGGUACCUGAAGAAGAAGCCCCGGCUAACUACGUGCCAGCAGCCGCGGUAAUACGUAGGGGGCAAGCGUUAUACGGAUUUACUGGGUGUAAAGGGGGCGCAGACGGCGAUGCAAGCCAGGAGGGAAAGCCCGGGGCCCAACCCCGGGACUGCUCUUGGAACUGCGUGGCUAGAGUGCAGGAGGGGCAGGCGGAAUUCCUGGUGUAGCGGUGAAAUGCGUAGAUAUCAGGAGGAACACCGGUGGCGAAGGCGGCCUGCUGGACUGCAACUGACGUUGAGGCCCGAAAGCGUGGGGAGCAAACAGGAUUAGAUACCCCAGUAGUC
rnacentral:rRNA from 1 species